rnacentral:tRNA from 1 species
GUGGCUGUGGCUCAGUGGUAGAGCGCUCACCUAGCAUGUGUGAGGCCCUGGAUUCGAUCCUCAGAACCACA